rnacentral:rRNA from 1 species
UACGGGGGGAGCAAGCGUUGUUCGGAUUUACUGGGCGUAAAGGGCGCGUAGGCGGCCACCGCAAGUCAAUUGUGAAAUCUCGGAGCUCAACUCCGAAACUGCACUUGAUACUGCCUUGCUGGAGUACUGGAGAGGAGAUUGGAAUUUACGGUGUAGCAGUGAAAUGCGUAGAUAUCGUAAGGAAGACCAGUGGCGAAGGCGAAUCUCUGGACAGUUACUGACACUGAGGCACGAAGGCCAGGGGAGCAAACGGG